rnacentral:sRNA from 13 species
AGGAGACAGAAUGACCAUCCGCCAGCGCGUUGCGCCCGCGGGUGCUGCUUUG